AUUGAACGCUGGCGGCAGGCUUAACACAUGCAAGUCGAGCGGGGUGAUGGUGCUUGCACUAUCACUUAGCGGCGGACGGGUGAGUAAUGCUUAGGAAUCUGCCUAUUAGUGGGGGACAACAUUUCGAAAGGAAUGCUAAUACCGCAUACGUCCUACGGGAGAAAGCAGGGGAUCUUCGGACCUUGCGCUAAUAGAUGAGCCUAAGUCGGAUUAGCUAGUUGGUGGGGUAAAGGCCUACCAAGGCGACGAUCUGUAGCGGGUCUGAGAGGAUGAUCCGCCACACUGGGACUGAGACACGGCCCAGACUCCUACGGGAGGCAGCAGUGGGGAAUAUUGGACAAUGGGGGGAACCCUGAUCCAGCCAUGCCGCGUGUGUGAAGAAGGCCUUAUGGUUGUAAAGCACUUUAAGCGAGGAGGAGGCUCUUUUGGUUAAUACCCAAGAUGAGUGGACGUUACUCGCAGAAUAAGCACCGGCUAACUCUGUGCCAGCAGCCGCGGUAAUAC
rnacentral:rRNA from 1 species